ACGUCGGUGUGGAUUGAUCUCGACACGUGUCCGAUUACCGAUAGAUGUGUAGCUGGUCAGGUCCGUCAGCGGGUAGAAUCGGCUUUGGAUACGAUUGGUAGCUCUGGUCCUCUGACCAUUAAUGUCUUGGGCACCUUGGAGGACACUACGCUUGAUGUCCUGCAAGCGUUAUCUUCCACUGGAAUCGUUGUUCACUACAUCCCACGAGGUACAGGAACAGGAGGUAGCGGGAAAAUUUUGUCGGUUUUGCUUGCUUGGGCACGGGCUAAUCCACCCCCGGCAAAGAUUCUGUUUGUAUCUCUCUCCCUCAAUGUGAACGACAGUUCCAGAUCAUUGUCGUAUCUACAAGAACGAGGCUAUCACAUUCUGGUUGGGUAUGGGGAUACUCCCAAACCUCCUCCAGGCCUGUUCACUUCUGCCACUUGGAAAUGGCAAAGCUUGUUGGAAGGAGUUUCCAUCCCCUGAAUCCCCUCUGGCCUGUUUUCCCUAUCGAUUCAGGGGAAGUGAUGAGAAGUGCAAGUGCUGUGUGUGAUUCUGCACCAGCAGGUUUCUUCAUUUGCAGGCUUUGUUAUGAUUCCACAUCAUCCUCUAAGUAUUUUGUCUGCCAAAACCUUGAAGAUUUCACCACGCAUCUCACCAGUGAAAAACAUAACUGAGAUACUUUAAGCAUCAUCAAAUUGUGGACGAUGAGGAGGAUGAGGACUAUGAGGACGAAGACUCCUUGGCCGUAGGUGAAGGGCAUGGUGGUCAAAGCAGGCCUUAGAUCUUUCCUUUUGAUUAAGGCUGCUACUGCCAUGGUGAAAGCCAAAGCAACUACCAUGAUGAAGAGUCAAUCAAAGGUUUCAAUUUCUGUUAAAAUUUCUUUGAUGGCUUAGUUGCUUUUAGUCACUCCUGUAUCUUUCCUUUUGAUUAAGGCUGCUACUGUCAUGGUGAAAGCCAAAGCAACUACCAUGAUGAAGAGUCAAUCAAAGGUUUCAAUUUCUGUUAAAAUUUCUUUGAUGGCUUAGUUGCUUUUAGUCACUCCUGUAUCUUUUCUUUUGAGGUCUAAGAAACAAGACAGUAUAUAUAGACCAAUUUAUUUGAUGCAUAAUCAACAUUGAUUUUUUUCCAAUGUUAGGAAAAGUGCUA